AACGAACGCUGGCGGCGUGGAUAAGACAUGCAAGUCGAACGCUCGUUCCGGGGUAGCAAUAUUCCGGAGCGGGAGUGGCGCAAGGGUGCGUAACACGUGGGUCAUUUGCCGUGAAGCUGGGAACAACUCGUUGAAAGACGAGCUAAUACCCAAUGUGCUCCGCAAGGAGUAAAGCCGGGGGCCGCAAGGCCUGGCACUUUACGAUAAGCCCGCGGCCUAUCAGCUAGUUGGCGGGGUAAAAGCCCACCAAGGCUAAGACGGGUAGCUGGUCUGAGAGGACGACCAGCCACACUGGAACUGAGACACGGUCCAGACACCUACGGGUGGCAGCAGUCGAGAAUUUUUCACAAUGGGCGCAAGCCUGAUGGAGCGACGCCGCGUGGGGGAGUGAAGGGGCGUUCGGCUCGUAAACCCCUGUCAUUCGCGAACAAUGGCGCCGGCCUAACAUGCCGUCGUCUGAUAGUAGCGGAAGAGGAAGGGGACGGCUAACGUCUGUGCCAGCAGCCGCGGUAAU
rnacentral:rRNA from 1 species